CGGACGGGUGAGUAACACGUGGAUAACCUACCUAUAAGACUGGGAUAACUUCGGGAAACCGGAGCUAAUACCGGAUAAUAUAUUGAACCGCAUGGUUCAAUAGUGAAAGACGGUUUUGCUGUCACUUAUAGAUUGAUCCGCGCCGCAUUAGCUAGUUGGUAAGGUAACGGCUUACCAAGGCAACGAUGCGUAGCCGACCUGAGAGGGUGAUCGGCCACACUGGAACUGAGACACUGUCCAG
rnacentral:rRNA from 1 species